UACAUACACACAUAUACACAGA
rnacentral:piRNA from 1 species